UAACUACGUGCCAGCAGCCGCGGUAAUACGUAGGUGGCGAGCGUUAUCCGGAAUGAUUGGGCGUAAAGGGUGCGUAGGUGGCAGAUCAAGUCUGGAGUAAAAGGUAUGGGCUCAACCCGUACUGGCUCUGGAAACUGAUCAGCUAGAGAACAGAAGAGGACGGCGGAACUCCAUGUGUAGCGGUAAAAUGCGUAGAUAUAUGGAAGAACACCGGUGGCGAAGGCGGCCGUCUGGUCUGGAUUCUGACACUGAAGCACGAAAGCGUGGGGAGCAAAUAGGAUUAGAUACCCUAGUAGUCCACGCCGUAAACGAUGAGAACUAGGUGUUGGGGGAAUAACUCAGUGCCGCAGUUAACGCAAUAAGUUCUCCGCCUGGGGAGUAUGCACGCAAGUGUGAAACUCAAAGGAAUUGACGGGGGCCCGCACAAGCGGUGGAGUAUGUGGUUUAAUUCGAAGCAACGCGAAGAACCUUACCAGGCCUUGACAUCCCUUGCAGAGGUAUAGAGAUAUAUCCGAGGUUAACAAGGAGACAGGUGGUGCAUGGUUGUCGUCAGCUCGUGUCGUGAGAUGUUGGGUUAAGUCCCGCAACGAGCGCAACCCUUGUGAUAUGUUACUAACAUUGAGUUGAGGACUCAUAUCAGACUGCCGGUGAUAAACCGGAGGAAGGUGGGGAUGACGUCAAAUCAUCAUGCCCCUUAUGGCCUGGGCUACACACGUACUACAAUGGCGUCUACAAAGAGCGGCAAGCCUGUGAAGGCAAGCGAAUCUCAUAAAGGACGUCUCAGUUCGGAUUGAAGUCUGCAACCCGACUUCAUGAAGCUGGAAUCGCUAGUAAUCGCGAAUCAGCAUGUCGCGGUGAAUACGUUCUCGGGCCUUGUACACACCGCCCGUCAAACCAUGGGAGUUGGUAAUGCCCGAAGCCGGUGGCAUAACCCUUCGGGGAGUGAGCCGUCGAAGGCAGGACCGAUGACUGGGGUUAAGUCGUAACAAGGUAUCCCUACGGGAACGUGGGGAUG
rnacentral:rRNA from 1 species